rnacentral:rRNA from 1 species
UGAGGAAUAUUGGGCAAUGGACGCAAGUCUGACCCAGCCAUACCGCGUGCAGGAUGACGGCCCUAUGGGUUGUAAACUGCUUUUGUACGGGAAGAAAAAGCUUUACGUGUAAAGCACUGACGGUACCGUACGAAUAAGGAUCGGCUAACUCCGUGCCAGCAGCCGCGGUAAUACGGAGGAUCCAGGCGUUAUCCGGAUUUAUUAGGUCUAAAGGGUGCGUAGGCGGAAAUAUAAGUCAGUGGUGAAAUCCUGCAGCUCAACUGUAGAACUGCCAUUGAUACUGUUUUUCUUGAGUAUAGUUGAGGUGGGCGGAAUGUGUCAUGUAGCGGUGAAAUGCUUAGAUAUGACACAGAACACCAAUUGCGUAGGCAGCUCACUAAACUGUCACUGACGCUGAGGCACGAAAGCGUGGGGAGCGAACAGGAUUAGAUACCCCCGUAGUCC